rnacentral:rRNA from 1 species
CACAGGGAUUGCCCCAGUAACGGCGAGUGAAGCGGCAACAGCUCAAAUUUGAAAUCUGGCCCCCAGGGCCCGAGUUGUAAUUUGCAGAGGAUGCUUUUGGCGCGGCGCCUUCCGAGUUCCCUGGAACGGGACGCCAUAGAGGGUGAGAGCCCCGUCUGGUCGGACGCCAAGCCAGUGUAAAGCUCCUUCGACGAGUCGAGUAGUUUGGGAAUGCUGCUCUAAAUGGGAGGUAUAUGUCUUCUAAAGCUAAAUAUAGGCCAGAGACCGAUAGCGCACAAGUAGAGUGAUCGAAAGAUGAAAAGCACUUUGAAAAGAGGGUUAAACAGUACGUGAAAUUGUUGAAAGGGAAGCACUUGUGACCAGACUUGGGCCCGGUGAAUCAUCCAGCGUUCUCGCUGGUGCACUUUGCCGGGCUCAGGCCAGCAUCAGUUCGCCGCGGGGGAUAAAAGCUUCGGGAACGUGGCUCCCUCGGGAGUGUUAUAGCCCGUUGCAUAAUACCCUGUGGUGGACUGAGGUUCGCGCUCCGCAAGGAUGCUGGCGUAAUGGUCACCAGUGACCCGUCUUGAAACACGGACCAAGGAGUCGUCUUCGUAUGCGAGUGUUCGGGUGUCAAACCCCUACGCGUAAUGAAAGUGAACGCAGGUGAGAGCUUCGGCGCAUCAUCGACCGAUCCUGAUGUUCUCGGAUGGAUUUGAGUAAGAGCAUACGGGGCCGGACCCGAAAGAAGGUGAACUAUGCCUGUGUAGGGUGAAGCCAGAGGAAACUCUGGUGGAGGCUCGCAGCGGUUCUGACGUGCAAAUCGAUCGUCAAACAUGGGCAUGGGGGCGAAAGACUAAUCGAACCUUCUAGUAGCUGGUUUCGC